GCACCCUUGGUGUAUGGAAACACACAUCUUACAGUUCACAGAUGUUAGGAGUCCAAGAUGAGCCCGGGGUUCGAAUCCCCGAGGGUGCA